rnacentral:rRNA from 1 species
GACGAACGCUGGCGGCGUGCUUAACACAUGCAAGUCGAACGGAAAGGCCCUGCUUUUGUGGGGUGCUCGAGUGGCGAACGGGUGAGUAACACGUGAGUAACCUGCCCUUGACUUUGGGAUAACUUCAGGAAACUGGGGCUAAUACCGGAUAGGAUCUCCUGCUGCAUGGUGGGGGUUGGAAAGUUUCGGCGGUUGGGGAUGGACUCGCGGCUUAUCAGCUUGUUGGUGGGGUAGUGGCUUACCAAGCCUUUGACGGGUAGCCGGCCUGGGAGGGUGACCGGGCACAUGGGGACUGAGGUACGGCCCAGACUCCUACGGGAGGCAGCAGUGGGGAAUAUUGCACAAUGGGCGGAAGCCUGAUGCAGCGACGCCGCGUGCGGGAUGACGGCCUUCGGGUUGUAAACCGCUUUCGCCUGUGACGAAGCGUGAGUGACGGUAAUGGGUAAAGAAGCACCGGCUAACUACGUG